rnacentral:rRNA from 1 species
GAUGAACGCUGGCGGCGUGCUUAACACAUGCAAGUCGAGCGAGUGAGUUCUUCGGAACGAUCUAGCGGCGGACGGGUGAGUAACACGUGGGCAACCUGCCUCAUAGAGGGGAAUAGCCUCCCGAAAGGGAGAUUAAUACCGCAUAAAAUUAUCGAGUGGCAUCACAUGAUAAUCAAAGGAGUAAUCCGCUAUGAGAUGGGCCCGCGGCGCAUUAGCUAGUUGGUGAGGUAACGGCUCACCAAGGCGACGAUGCGUAGCCGACCUGAGAGGGUGAUCGGCCACAUGGGGGCUGAGACACGGCCCAGACUCCUACGGGAGGCAGCGGUGGGGAAUAUUGCACAAUGGGGGAAACCCUGAUGCAGCAACGCCGCGUGAGUGAUGAAGGUCUUCGGAUUGUAAAGCUCUGUCUUUGGGGACGAUAAUGACGGUACCCAAGGAGGAAGCCACGGCUAACUACGUGCCAGCCGCCGCCGUAA